CACCAAGAAGUUAAGUUAUACAGUUGAUAGUAAAAAGACAGUUAAGUAUUGUGCAAGAUGGUAGGCCAUUUAAUUUAUUAUAUAGAGGUAAAAUUUGAGUAUAGUUAAAUAAAUCAGGAGUGGCGUGGAAGCUGAAUCUGUGAAGUCCUUGAGGGAAACUGGGAUUAGGUACCCUAUUAUUCUUGGGUGUAAAUGGAGUUGCUUUACUGGAGUACUAUGAAUGUUGUAAGUUUAAAACUCAAAGAACUUGGCGGUGUUUUAGACCAUUUAGGGGAACCUGUCUCGUAAUCGACAAUCCACGUUGUACCUGACCUUUCUUUGUUUUUUCAGCCUGUAUACCGUUGUCGUCAGGUAACCUUUUAGAGGGUAGAAGUUGGCUAGAGAAAUAGAUAAUUUAGUACGUCAAAUCAAGGUGCAGCUAAUAGGAAGGGAGAGAUGGGUUACAGUUAUAUAUUUAUAAUUACGAAUGAUUGUAUGAAAAUAUGAUGUAUGAAGGCGGACUUAAAAGUAAAUUAAAAUAUAAGAAUAAUUUGAAUUAGGCUCUGAAAUGUGU
rnacentral:rRNA from 1 species